AUCAUGAAAAGAAUUUUCUAUUAAAAAUUCAAACAAUUCCAAUUCUUUGACACUGUUAAACUAAUAAGCAUCCCACACCACUAUUAAAAAUUGUCAAUUUUGAGAUAUUUUGAUCGUAAGGUAAAUAAUGCCGAAAAAAAAUAAAAUUUGGUUUCUAAAAGUUUCAAAUGCUUUAAAUCAUAUUUAACUGUAUGAAUGAUCAAUUUGAAAGCUUUAUUAUCGAAAACAACUUAUG
rnacentral:lncRNA from 1 species